AACGGUUAAAAUCUCCUGUAGAACUAGUGAUACUAACGACUAUGUUCGCUGGUAUCAUCAGAGAUCAGGACAGGCCCCUCGCUUUGUGCACUGUGAGAGUUGCAGCAAGGGAGAAGGGAUCCCAGAUCGAUUCACAGCUUCUCGCUCAGGGACCGUUGGCUAUUUAACCAUCACCAACAUCCAGGUUGAAGACGAGGCUGUUUAUUACUGUGGCAGAUGGUACAGUGGCAAGUU